AGAGAUUGGUUGUUGCCAUGUUUCACAGGCUGGUCUUGAACUCCUGGGAGCAAAUGAUCGCCUAUCUCAGCCUCCCAAAGUGCUGGGAUUAUAGGCGUGAGCCACCGUGCCUGGCUGAAAUAUUUUAACCUAUCUGAGCUUCAGUUUCCUGCCUAUAAAAUGAAAAUAACAAAACACACCUAUUAAACAUUGAGAUAAUGCAUGUAAGCUACUUGGCACAGUACUGAGCACAUAGUAAAAGCUCAAAAAUCAGUAGUCACCAUCAUCGUUACUUUUUGACUUGUUCUCAUGUGUUCUUUUUGAAAUUCAAAAUAUCCAGCUGGCUUGAAGAUAGUUGUCACGUUUUAUAGUCAGCUAUCAUAGACUGAGCUAUGUCAUAUGUAAUAGUACAGUGUGUUGAAAGAGUAAUUAUUCAGAAGCAUUUUCAGGUAACCAGUGACAUUGAUUUUCAGAACUAGUACGGAGGCUUGAGAGGCUCAGGUGUAAAAGGUAAUUUAGUACUUAGAGGGGGUUGAGUAGUAACAGAAAGUAGUUGUCAGACCACAGGUAUAAACAUAGGUGAGGGCACAGAAUCAUUGAUUUGCCUUGAUUUUCACAUAUUCAAGAAGAAAGUAACUUUGUGAAUAAAUAAUGCGUUCAUAAAGGUAUAAAACUCAGGAGGUUCAAGUGUCCCAUCCAUCUUAACCCUCAGCCUCCCACGACUCCAUCUGUAGAGGCAACCAGUGUUGAGAAAAAUUGUGUGGAUAAGCAUUAAGUAUUAAUGUUUUUACCUGGUUUUUGUACACACACUACCUUAUUUUUCCUUUACCAGUAUGUUUUAGAGGUCAUUCAGAUCAUAUAUAAAAUAUUCACAUUUUCUCUCCCCCCCACCUCCUUCUUUGGUUUUCCAAAGGUACCUUCAUAAUAUAAAGAGGUUUACUGAAAAAUUUCAGAAAUUGUUUCAGCUGCAUCUCUGUUCUUUUCGUGGCAUGGAAUACAUGCAAUGAAGGAAAAUACCGAUGGCACCAUUUCAUAGACAUACUCAAAGGAUGACAAGCACUUAAGGACCAGCACAGCACAGCGGUGAACUCUCAAGACAGUAUGACAGUAAUGAGAUGACGAAGGCACAUCUUGUUUCCUGGAAAAUUCUGCAUGAUAGGAGACUGACAAAGCAAAGAACCAUGAUGUGUCUUAGAGAACCAGAAUGGUCAGAGACUCUGAUGAUCCCCUGGUCCACACGUGACUGAGAGUUAAUACCUUAGGUCACUGUUCUCAGAACCUGGAUAUUUAUAUGCACGUGCACCUCAGUGACUGAUCCAUUCUCAGUUUUCAGGUCCAUUGCUUUCACAUUUGAAAUAGUCAAGGAGCAUCUUUAUGACUGGGGCUGAGCUUCUGCAUUCAUGUACAGCCCUCUGCCUGCCAGCAGUGCCUUGCAUUUGUGAUCCUACAAAGAGCCUGUGGACUUAAUGGUUUACUGUAUAGGGAAAGGCUUGACUUUGUGUCUUCUACUUAAGAAGCUUGAACUUUUUACCAAAUAUUCGUACUCCUUUUCCUGAAAAUACUGAUCUAGGCUACAGAUCCAUCUCUUAACCAUAUUUGAAAAAUUGAAAUAAUAUCUUCUGCCAUAACUUGAAAUUCCACUCUCAGAUCUGUUAUUUCUGACAGUGAGUUUGUAUUUCUCAAGUAGAUAUGUCUGAUGCUUAUUUCUUUUACAGCAUCUGGCUCAGUGCAUGGCUCAUAUAUCUGUAGAGUGAGUAAAUACAGGGAAUGUUUCCUAUGUGUAUGGCAAGGGUCACAGACUCAGGCAGGUAACAGAUGAGCAAGGCAGAGGGUGGAGACUGGUAAACUAGACAACUAGAUAGGUCAGGUCAAUCGGGGGCAGCACCUGCUCAGCCAUAGCAGAUUGUGGCCAUGUGGGGAUAUAGGUCUCAUAUUGCCAGAUUUCCUGGGUUUUCAAGAAAAAGUGAAAAAUCUGGAUUUUUAUGUGAGAUCUUCCAGUAUUUCAGCAUCAGGUUCUUUUUGUUUGUGAGUGCUUUGGCCCUCACAGCCUGCCUGCCACAUCUGACUUGUGGACUGCCGGCUUGAAACCUUUGAUAUUUAGAGAAGUGGUUAGACCUUAGAGUUGGUUCUGGUGAGAUCCUUCUUGUUUUACAGAUGAGGUUUCUGAGACCGAAAGAAGGGAAGUGACUUGCUCAAAGUCUCACUGUUACUCAGUGGCAAAACAAGACUAGAAUUUGGGUUUCCUGGUCCAUAACCUGUCACUUUCUUUUUUCUUAACUACAAUACCUCCUUUAUGAAGACCUUCAUAAAUUCUAGGAUGGUGAAUUCUCCUUUAUUUUGUGUGUCGUGUGCAAGUGGACAUGUGUGUAUUUACUAAACUCUGUGGACCUGGAAAUACAUUCUGAUAUGACUAUCAGGAA